CGGAAGAAGUUAACACGGAGAUUCACAGUGAUGCUAAGCACGGCACAUUUAACAAUUGAAAAUAGUUUGAGAGCUAGUACUAAUGACACGAGAUGAAAAGGCGAGAUUUGAAGGAGGCAGUCAUGUUACACAGGUCUUAUAGCUGGUAAUCUAGAGAAUAUAGCUGGUGGUACACCGAGAGACGGCCAACGCAGCCUAUGACGGUGAAUAACUGCAUACACGAUGUGAAGAGAUGCUUAAAUUUCCCUUGUAAUGAGCGGGUGUGGUUGAUGCAAGGCAGGGUUGAUUGGAAAUUUGUGGUAGAAGUAAUUGAGCUGGCAAUUGGCCUCUGCAGAGUGAAGACUAGUAGGAACUGAAAACACUCACAUUGCCAAGCUCGGGGCGGCAGACGCGUCGAAUACGUUUGUUCUUUUGUCAGAGCGCGUGGGUGAAACUAAAAUUAUUCGCAAUGUGAAACGCGCUGUGCUCCUUGUGCCGUUGAAAGGCAGGGCUGUUUUUUUUUUUCGAUCGACCAUGUGUCAAGUGACUUGGGAUCGACUAGGCAGUCAGCGCGAGGAAACACGUUCAUGGUUAUUAAAAUCACGGAUUGUAAUUCGCCGUUAACGUCGAACGCGACACUUUGUGUAGAUUACGCGCUUUAGCGAACUUGCAGCCUCCGGUAUACGAAACAUGUGAGAUAAUAUUUCCCCGGUUAUUGCUCCUAAGAGUCCGCGUCGGUGUGCGUUGUGCACAGACGGAUUUCCCCGCCCAGAGAAAAAGGGAAAUAGGGCUAAACACCGGACCACAGAAAGAAGCUCUGUGUCGCUUUGGUGAACUGUCUCGUAUUGCGAUCACAGGUUUCAUGUUUUUCACGGAAGUGUUAGCUAAAACCAGUCCCGCUCAAUUAACUUCAUACCCAUUUGGUAAGAAUCGUGUAUUUCGCCUAUUUGUGUUGGUGUUUCUGUGAUUUAGUUUGACACGCGUCCUCCUUGUAAUAAUGCUGGUUUGUAACUCCGUGAUCGUCCUCGAGACAGCCAAGAAUGCCACUUCGAAUGAGCUCGUUCUGGCACAAGACACUCUAAUUGAAACUCGCCUCCUAUUUCCGACGAAGGUACCUCGGUAGUUUCAUUUCCACCAUUGUUUGAUGUGGCCUUUGUUUAGGCCCUUUCACCCAAAAGUGAGUGAUGAGGUCUCCGUUGAAGAUGCGUCUGUUUCGGUUAGCCACCGGAGGGAAAUGGCUUGCAUUUGCCCCAGCAAAGAAGUACAGUGCCAAACAAACCACGUACCAUCGAAUAAGCAUCGGUUUCGGAUAAUGUGACCUCGCGACUGGUAACGAUCCGCUGGCGAGUUUCAUAGUAGCCGUCGUCGCUACGACCUGUGUACCAGGCUUGAACCGCGCGCCGAACCGAGACGAUGAGCAGGCUUUCGGCUCCGGUAUAUAUGCGCGCAUUCUUACUAGCAGUUUGUUUGAGACACCGUUCACAUCUCCUUUAGUAGUUGGCUGAAAUUAGUGCCAGCGGCUUUUAAUCUGCGGUGCUGAGCGCUCGAAUUUCAUUGAAGAUCUUCAGAAUCCAGCGUGCGUCUAAAAGGUCAGCGACGCACUUUUCAGCAAAGGUCAUUACGAGCCGGAUUGCUUAGAAAGGUCUUGACUAUAUGAAAUUGAUAUUUCACAUAAAUGUUUUAGCAAAUUGCCCCUGCAGCGCCCCUUAUUCAUCAUUAGGCUGACCUUAUCGAGACAAUUAUAUAGAAUUUCUUGGUUAUUUUCUGAGCAGUUGAACGCCGCCGGAAAUGUUUUACAUCUCUAGUUGGACUUUGCUGGUUUGAGUUGAACAGUAUCAUUAAAAAAUAUUCCAGAUUUAAAAAAUGCUGCUUUCGUUCUCAUAGUUUCGCUUUUGCGUGAAACCACCGCUAUGGAAGCAGCGACAGAAGGAAGGUUUCAGAAUACGGCAGGCAGUGGAAUUACAACUGCUGACUUGGUGAUAUGCAAAUGUAUAUGUGCAGGACCUCGACAAACAUGCUGGGUCACUACUGAAGUAGUGAUUCAGCGUGUUUCAACUGCGCUGGCAUUAAAUGCGAAUGAAAUUUCUAGUACUUGUACAUCUAGUCAAAUAAUGUCCUUGGUAUUUGUUGCAUUUAUACUGGUCUUUCUUAGAUUGAGACAUCUUGGACAUCUCGGACAUUUAGGAGCGGAUAUGUGGUACGAAUCUUGACGAAAUUGUAUUGCUGAAUAGGCUGCUAAGUCGGCUAGACUUUGUAUUGUGCCAUGAGCUUUCUUGACUUGUAUGUUCUUGCCGUUCGGUGACUGCUCUGGAACGAACGUGUCAGAACCUUGUUUGUCCAAUUUACGAUAUGAUCGUUCUUGCAGAGGCUUCGAGAAUUUCCUGUGUCGUCGCAUUGUGAAUCUUGAUGAGGCUCCAUUCAGUAUUCUCGCACAUGUUCAAAGGCGUUGUCACUAGUUUUUAAAGGGCUGUUUAUCCCUAGGACGUCGCUGCUUGGCAGAUUAAUGCCAGCCACGGUAGAUGUCAUUUUUUUUCCGAAGGCAUUAUGGUGACACGUUUUUUACGUAUUGAGAGAUUCUGCUUUGGGUAGUUUGGCUCGAGAAAUUUGUCGAUCAAACGCGAUGAAGGCGAAUCACGGGGCUGCUAUUUAUUCGUCAAACCGAGAUUUGUUUAUACUAGCUAAUGAUACGUUACACGAAGUAAAAUUUGUCGCCACCAAAAAGCUUUCUGGAGAAACUUCUGCUAUAGGAGAAAGUCCUUUUGAAGGCGGCACACUAGCAAAUUUCCUUGGAAGUUUUGUCGAUUGAACUUGUGUGUGAAACAUUCAGUACGUAUUGUAUGACGUGGAAACUUGAGUUUCCGGGUCAUGAAGUACGAAAACUUGGUCCUUGAUGAAGCAAGGUUACCAAAGACUAGUUUGGCGGUGUAUUGCUAGUACACUCGAAACUAAUGAAAUGUCUCCGACGCUAGCGACGAAAUGUCCAUCGAGCGCAUGUCUAGUGAAUUUUUCAUUUCCAACUCAUUCGGGUGGCUUACAUUUUACAUGUUUCGUGGUCCGAAGUCGCGGUUAUUAGAUGCCAGCAGACGUCACCCAGACCAUUUGGCAAAAAUCUUGAACGAGUUUACUUCGGCAUUCCUCUUACGUGCGAUUUGUAAAACACCUGCAGGCAAGGUAUUGUUGAAUAAACUGCUUUUUUUUCUUCGUAAAUAUAGUGACCAUAAACAUUUUUUGAGUUAAGUUGUGGCGAAUACCUUUCCUCGAGCAUUUGAGACAGGUCAUGUUAAGUUUUCCAGCUCGAAAGUAUCGCAUUUUGACUUCCUCCCUGGCAGGCGUGUCCUAAAAUUAGCUGGAAAGCUUCAGCAGCUUGUUUGAAAACAGUUGAGAUGGCCAUGGAACGCUUGAACGCUGAGACGCUAAUAACGUGCACGCCAGCCCCAGGUUGCCUCACGUUCUUGCUAUCCCAUUCUGCAUUGUAUGUGACUCAUCUUUGUUGCGUUCCCUGUCAUCGUCACCACGCACUUCGGCUAGUUUAGAUAUGAGGUGCUAAGUAGUUAUAAACCAGUGAAAUCACUUGUUUAACCGCGCUCCACGGACGUUGCAGGCCGCCCCUUAAAGCCAGCUUUACAUUCUACGAACUGUCUGUGUUUUCAACCGCAGCGGCCGCAGAAAUCGGUCCUGUGCAGCGAAGCGGCGGAGUUUGGACUUGCUGAAAAUUUUUGAAAUGACGCUACGGCUGACCAAUGGUACUGCUGCACCAAUCUGACGUAUGUGCUGACAUUUCAGCGGUAGCGCAUGCUUGCUGGUCGGAGAGCGACAGUCGCUGAGUCGGCGGACGCUCGGAGUUGAAACAUGCGAAACAAACCUAAGUCGAGACUGCGUCGGUCUCGCGACAGGUAGUGGCCGACGCUGAGGCGCAGAGAAUGUGCUGAAAGGGCUGCUGACAGGGUGUCUGAGAACAUUUUGACGUGCCACAUUAACGGCGCGAGGCAAGUGGAGGCACAAAGAAUAGAAUCGGAAGAAAAAUCUCGAAAUUCGGCAUAUGCUUCCAUUAUUCUUUCUUCAGUGCCCUUGUUAACUGCGAGGUUUGCAUGACUAAGCGCUAUCGACUCGCCCGAUUUUCCGCUCCGCUCAGCUCCGACGCCAAUAGAGGCGCGCCUGGCACGCUUUUCCAGCUUCUGAACUUGUCUUGAGUAGCCUACUCAAGACGUGCUUUCCCACCCUUACCGAUCUAUGGCACAAGUUCGCAGUUCCGGCUGUGCCAACGCCAGGAACUGUGGUGUAGUCUGUGUUUUUGUCAGUGUGCAUCGAACGAGGGCUCCCGUAAUUCUCGAGAAUCAUUCAUUUCUUGUGUCUAACGUGUGUCUGCAAUAAGCUUUGCCGUGCAAUAAUACCGUGGACCACAUUUUUUCUUGCCUAUCGAGGGUUUAUGCUUUAUAGCGCGGACGACACUUUUGUUACCUUCGUUCCAAGGCUUUUUCUUGCGGGUAAAUGAUGGUGUGCAGUUUUGGUAAUAUCUAUGUGUUUUCGUGCUUCAAGACGCGUGAUGAAUUUCUCUCCGCCCUUCACAACGUUGUACGCGUGUAACCUUUGUUUCCUAUAACAACAAAGUUAAGCUGCAGUUUCAUCUCUUUCGAAACCAGCUCAGGCUUGGAACAGAUCACAGUCGUUGCUAGAGUGGUGUUUUUUUUUUUUUCCUCAGUGCUUCAGAUUGAAAUGUUCUCGCUCGUAGCAGGACAACGCUAAUUUUUCAAGUUGUAGCUGACGCAAGCACGUUGAAGCUGACGUAGCUGACGCAAGUUGGGGAGAUGUACUGAAAAAUGUUCUCUGUUACCAAGAGAGUAUAACUGCCGUGCAUGGCGAACGAUUGUUUCGUUUAGCCGGUAUUCUCCCGGAAUUGGAAUGACAUCUCGCGAUAUACGCAGAAGACGUGAAGAGGUCUUCCGCUGUGGUCUCCAUAUUUCUCGGAGCGCAAUGACGUCUUAUCGAGCAACUGAGCUCCGUUUUCCUUGUCCUUCUAAUCGUUAGUCGUCGCCGCCUGCGUCUUAACCAAGAGAGGUGUGUGCUGACGAAUAUGUUGUGUCAUUACGAAGCCAGUGUAUUACGACAAACGAGCGCAGUCGUGACGCACCACAGUGUCUGCUCCUAUGUGUCGGCUGCAAGCCACUAAAAAGAUUUACUGUGGAUUACAGCUCUUUGGCCUUACCAUAUACCUUAUCGCCUUACUGUGUACAACUCGAAACCUACUACCCAUUCAACUGCUUCGAAAGAGCUGUGAACGUGCGAUCUUAUGGCGAAACCCUCCUUUUAUGCUCGGGUCCAAAACCCUUUCGUCGUUGUGAAAGCUUUGGGUUCACCCCCACAAGUGUCGUUUGCUCCCGAACCUCUGGUGUCUGCUAUAUUGUUGUUCGUUAAACGCGGACACGUGCUCUCUUAGCACUAGCAAGAACAAAACAAGGGCAAUGGACGGCACAUGUCUUCGACCACUCGUACUGUGUAUGCUCAUUGCUUUUAGCCAACAAAAAAGCCUUCAAAGAUAGUAUAAAUUAUAUGCUAAACUCUGUUUUGUCUAUACGGGAGCAACGCAUGCCCCGUGACUGUCUCUACUGAAGGCCACACCUCAUCGAGUUGCUUGAAGACGCUCAACUUACUGACUCUGGUCAGUUCACUAAGGUGUUGAAGAACGCGGGUAUCUUCCCCCCCCCCCCCCCCCCCCUUAGUUUCCUCAGAAAUGUUGCAACGAGUAAUGAAUAUAGGAUAACCUGUUGUACGCAUGUUUCUUAGCCACUGUAUCGUAGCCGCCUAUCUCUCUGCUUGAACAUUACUGGCCUACUUUGUUCUGGCUAGAGCGUACGAUGGAAUCCGAUCCCCACCACCAGGUAUCUUUGCCCGAGCUCCGAGGACCCACGUGACGUGUGCUAUGCAUUUGAGCGACGACUCCGUAUGCGGCGGAGAGUGCCAAAAGUGGUGGUGCUUGAAUGUGAUCGGCGCCGACGUAGGAACGCUGUGACGAUGAAAACGCUAGCCAGUAUGCAACAUGCUCGUUCCGCCUUCUGAGAAGAUGACGCUUGUCCGGGUGGAGCCAACUUCGCUACGUUCGGUUCAGGAACAGUAGUCGGUUUAACUUGCCCAUCUGUUGUAGCAGAUUUGUGCGCCCUGCGGUCUUGGUGAGCACCGAAUCUUGGGAGUUUGUGUGAACUAGAGAGUUUCGGCACGGCGUGCGCGUACGUGUCCCAGCUGCCGUGUCAUGUCAAGCAUGAGCCUAAUGCGGCGGCCAGCCAUAGCGCUAGUUGCAGCACUAGCUUCCUGAAGCUGUAUUUGGACAUUAUAUGUGAAUAUUUUACUGCAUUGCGUGACCGUGGACCGCAUGUCGCCUGACACUUAGGUUCGGCCGAGAGAUUGAAGCACCCGUUAUGUACUUUCCGAAGAUGGAAUUGGAUAGCACAUUGUGUUACAUGUUUAGUUAUGCGCAAUUUGAAGGGAUCUUGUCGCAUGGCAUGUCUGUAAUACUGCAACCGCAAUGCAUGUAUGCAAAUCCUAAACUUUCUGCAACCUAUGCUUCUUUCAAGAUUUGAAAACCACGAGUGGGGCUUGCAUGGUAGGGAAUAAAAAAAAGCACACAGAGCGUAUCGUGACACUUGGGUAUCAGUAACGAGUGAUCACGUUUGGCACAUCUCUUACCGACGCGUCACACAAACGAUGGUACUAUUUUUUUUUUCCUUCGCGAGCCUAUAAGUGGCAAUAUUUUGUUAAUGAAUUCACACCAUGCAUGUAAACGUCACCUAAAUACAAGAACUACGCUGCUGCCCUUGUGAUAGGUGGCUUCUGCGGCGCCUCGAACUUUGUAUGGGGUCAUUUAAAAGGCUAUAGUAUGUUUGCUUUCGCCCCUUACGUAUUAUGCCCGCAAGUAUUGCAAGUGGGUCGGGAUGAAUGUCGCCACGAGGCAACGGGAUUACGUCACAGGAUGGUUGCGUCUUUCCCGUUUUUCUCCCUCCGCUCUUGCAGACGGCAAGUUUUGAAAAGAAUUUAUCUCCAGUCGCUAAACCGACGCAAAGUGUGCCUGUUGCGAGGUGGAGUGAAAGUUUCUUUCGUUUUAGCUGACGCACUACCACUUGUGCGAAGGUUUCCCAGCGAUCUCUACUGUGACUUCCGAUGUGGCCACUGUUCACGCAGUCGCUUGUGUGCCGUUGCGGAUCGCCGAGGACAAAAUAACGAGGAAAAAAAUUAAAUACGCGACGUUCGCAGUGAAGAAGACUUUGAGAGCGCCAGCAACUGCACCUCUCGAUGUGUUAGGCUGGAGUGAGACUAACUAUUCGUUGCCGACAUGUUAUUAUUGCGAAAGAGCGUGGACUAGGGAGGCUCAAAUAGGACAGCUCAACCGCCAACGGAAAAGAUGCAGGAACGUCAUCGAUUGACUGCUUGCAGGCGCUCAUUUCGCUUUUUGUUUACGAAGAACAGUGUCGCUGUAUAGUUGUAGUGCUAAUUAACCACAAUUGCAAACUCGUAACCACCCAAGUUAAACACAUUUAGAAUUAAGAGAGCAAACUCUUCCGAUUCUUGAUUUUGGAAAUUUAGCUUUCCUGUUGAGGUUUCAUAUCAUGCAUGAUUGUACGUGUACCGAGCGUUUCUACUCAUUCAUUGAAACUCCACUGCGCUCGCCAGCGAGUAAAACACAAUUCCAUGCUAAAAAUUUUAAUACAUUGUAAAAAUACCUUAGAUGCUCAGACGUGCGAAGCCUACCCUAGCUUCCACAUCGCCCCGUGGUUCCUCCGAGGGUGUCAGUUGUCGCCGCGCUUUCGAGUGAUCUGCGAACGGUGCUUCAAACAAGCAGACAAAUGUGAAUACCUACUUCUUCCGCUAUUUCUUCUAGGGCGCUGGUGCUUAAUUUCUGAGAAGCAUGACUCCAUCUUGCCAAAUAAAACGCUCCUUCCUAAUUCUUUUUCUUUCCCAUCAAUGACGUCGCCUUUCUUUUGGAGAGACGGGUAUACCGCAACGUAACCCCGACGAAAACCGUUUCCUUAGUGACACCGCGAUGGACCGCAACGCUACUGCGUGAAUGUUUUCUUAUUACCGUACGGCAGCUUUGGCACAGCGGGGAACGCUGGAGGACAGUCCACUGCCGAAAAGCCUCCAGGCAGUGUUGCUGUUUUAGCGAGGAGGAUUCCCUACAUGUGGCUUAAUUGAGGCUCACUUAGCGGCGCAUCAUACACGCUUGUUGUGGACAGCUGGAAUUUUAAAACAACACAAAUUUCGAUCGAAGGUUUUUGUAUGGCGAAUGUUUAGCACAUCCAUGCAAACGUUUACUGGAUUGCAGCGGAUUACGAACGUCGCUUUACUUGAGCGACACUGUGCAAUGUUUGAGUUCGUAAGCGCUUAACGGGACUAUCUGUAUACGCGGCUCUUCUAACACGCUUUUUCUUGCAACAUAGGGAGCAUUUUCAAAGGGCAUAUGUGCGUUUCGGCACGGACGGAAACAGCUAGGUGCCGCACCACAAAAAUAUUUGAUGCUUUCCUAUUGUUUUCUAACAAUACAAGGUAAUCACAGUAACCGUUACGUACGCUAUGCCACCCGAACGUGUGCGUUUUAACUGAUUUCAUUCUUCUUCUCGUUAUCUUUUUAAUAGACUCACAAAAUCAUCUAGUGGAUUCUAAAAUAUGUUGAAUGUGCACCACUAAAGCGGAACAUCCGCAAGUAGAACACGGCAGACGCGAAACCUCGAGGUUGAAGGUAUAGCCCGAUGACACCGGCAUUUGCAAAGGCUUUCGGCCGCUCACUGUUUGCCGGCCGCUUCUCUUCCUAUAUUUACCUGUGGUAAAAAUGCUGCUGUAGCAGUAAACGAACUCGGAGCCGAAGGAAUCGCUGAUGUCUGAUUUAUUUUUUUUUCACACUCGGGCUGAGAACACUAACAUUUUUCUUUCCAGAACGUUUUUUUUUUUUUUCGCUUUAUGCUUUCUUUUAGAUAGCGGCCAAACGUAUGGUCAAGGCGUGUAAGCUUUUCCAUCUCACUGAGGACUUUAGCGUGGACACAGCUUCGACAGAUAAUGCAAGCGUUGCAGUUAUGUGUGUGGCUUACUGGAAAAAAAAAAAGAUACCGCGAGCUGUGUUGUUGCGCCCGAAUGAUAUUUUGCUUGAAAGGGGCGUGGCGCACGAAAAAAAAAAAUCUAUUUGCUGUUGAACUGGUGGUGUUUCGUUACGAGCUUUUAGCAGUAUACGAUUCUUAUCUGGAGCGAGUGUCCCAGAAACUCGGAGAAAAAAAAAAAAAUCUCACUGUGCCAUGCAGAGGCGCGAGCACGCUUUGUUUACGGGACCACUACAACAGAAUUUGUUUCGCUGUUUCGGAGUGUGUACUUUAUGUAGCGGUCUUGUCGAGCGUGCCUGGCCACGAAGCUUCUGCGUGUCGGUAAGCCUUACUGCAAAAAAAUGCAACUCCGGCUGUAGCUGUCGCAGUUGUCUUUAGCUGAUACACUGCACCCAGCACAAAACGAACAUUUGUCAUGCCUGCGUUCUCUUCAGUUGAACGUUCAUUCAAGUGUAACGCUCUGUCCUGUUUACUCCUUCCUCUCUUUCGCCUGUGGUUCCCGUUGUCUUAGGCCCAAUGUAUAAGUUCAACUUAUAUUUACCUUAUGGCGACUCACUGAAGUCUGCGUCAGGAGGCCUGGAGACUGGAUGUUGCAUUGCGUUGUCGAACAGGACGCUUACUAAUGAGGAAACGAAUGUUUAUCUUUGACAAAAUCUGCAAGCAGUUGCACGUCAUUUUGAAGGACGCGCUCUUCGCUGCUGCAAAUUCUGAGGCAGCGAUGUUUCCACAGCACUAAUUCUCAGUUGUUCAGAUUCUUUCUUAGCGGGCAAUACAUCUACUGAAUAUAUGGGUAAUCAUUAAGACCAGUGUCUUAUGAAGACGCAGUGAAGGUGUACUUAGGCCGCUAUAGAUACUGCAUACUUAUUCGGCAUGCGAUAGUAAACGAGAGUGUUCGGGAUAAUGUGGUUAAUGAGCCGCCACCAUCGUAAUUCAGUGGGAAGAGCAGCGUUUGAAACGAAAAAAAAAGUUAUAUUUGCAAGAUAUUUUCAUUCCCCUAAUAGAAAGUGGGCGAAAUUGUUGGAGGCGUUUAAACUCAAAACUCGCGUUUAGUGAAGAGUAGUGAAUUACAGAAACUGCAGCGAAUGUGGCGGCAAAGUCCUGUGACGCUGGUGAUUGCUGCUCACGUCAAAGAGUGUUAUUCUGAGAAUAGUAAAGGCGCAUGCGGAUUCGUCACUUUGUCUAUUGGGUAUUUGCGGUUUAGUUGUUAUUGGCGCCAGUAUCUGCAAUCAUAGCUAGACUGGCGUGAGAAUGAUGGGUAAGGACUUGAUAACUUCACCCUUCUCGCUUGAAACCAAAUAUUAGUAUAACUUGUCAUCGCAAGUUUUUGUGUAUGAAAAUUAUUUCCAUCAUGUAGCCUUUAAUUCCUGUCGUCCUGUUCGAUGCAAAACGUUAUAAAAAUGAGUGAAGGGCUCGGAAGGGAAAUAAAUAAUGAAUCGUGAUAUGGGUUGCUUCCCAGAUAUUGCCUUGAUUCAGCAACACGACCACGCCCGGAAAUAUCAAGAUUUAUUUUUUGCGCUGUAAACUGCGUGAUCAGGUUAGUUCGGGACGUAAUACGCUUAACUGCUCCAACGAAACGUUGAGACGCUAGCGUUAAACAUAAAUGAACCACAAAAGGUAGUAAUGCAGAAGGUUAAUGUCCCUUGUUAACCAGGACAUGCUACAUCCGCGAAAAGUUAACGUAGCGAAUACUACGGCUACUGUCAGUAGAGAAGGAACGAGAAUUCGAAGAAAACGAUGAUUCUUCUUGAAGCGACACCGAAUCGAUGGGAUCAUCAUGUAGAUGGUGUAGCGGCGCACAGGGGACGAGCUUUCCUUCUCCCCAAAAGCAUGUAGUCUAUUCUCGUUCCUGUUUGCCUUAGAAAACCGGUAGCAUUCCCUGCAGUGCACGGAACUGGUGAAACAGAGGAUGGAGCCGCAUUUGACCACGCGACAUCGUAAACUUAGCCGUUCGCGCGUGUAACAUUUGAGAAACGGAAAUCAGAAAAAGAAGUCGAUACUGAACUGCAUAUAAAUGGACAUUAAGAAGAGAGAUAAAAAAAAGAGGUGCCGACGAUAAGACUAAGGGAGCCGCUCGAAAUAAUUUUUUUUAAUGGAGUGGCCACGCACGUUCGACGCGUGCCGUAUAAUUGUUUUGAGUGGGUGUGCAAGACGUUUCGUUUCAGCCCUCGUUGUGUUCUAUCCUGCCUAGCUCCACGUAGCGGCGUGUGCCAGUUUGACCCUGCCUUUUGCUCGCGUGCCACGCGCACGAGGCCUGUCUCCCAUGGAGGUGUCUUUCUCUCUCUCUGUCCUCCGCAAUCGCCAACGCUUCCUCUCAAUGUUCAACGAACAAAUAAAGAAAAAAGUCUGGUUUCUGA